UACGGAGGGGGCUAGCGUUGUUCGGAAUUACUGGGGCGUAAAGCGCACGUAGGCGGCUUUGUAAGUUAGAGGUGAAAGCCCGGGGCUCAACUCCGGAAUUGCCUUUAAGACUGCAUCGCUAGAAUUGUGGAGAGGUAAGUGGAAUUCCGAGUGUAGAGGUGAAAUUCGUAGAUAUUCGGAAGAACACCAGUGGCGAAGGCGACUUACUGGACACAUAUUGACGCUGAGGUGCGAAAGCGUGGGGAGCAAACAGG
rnacentral:rRNA from 1 species